AUACAAAGCUCUGCGGCUUCAGAGCGGAGGGGAUCUGCCGGGGACUGCGAGGACUCAGCCAGGAUGGACUGACAGAUUUGCCUCAGGAGCCCAAACGCCUUGCUCAUUCGUGAUCACUCCAAAACCCCCAGGCCGCAGCUGCCUGGCCCGCGUUCAGGACAGCACGACUUCACUUCCAGGAAGCGCUUAUGUGAGCCAGGCACGAUGGAAUCUCUGUGAAAAUACAAU
rnacentral:lncRNA from 1 species